rnacentral:rRNA from 1 species
GAGCGGGGGACAACAUUUGGAAUCUAAUGCUAAUACCGCAUAAAAACUUUAAACACAAGUUUUAAGUUUGAAAGAUGCUAUUGCAUCACUCAAAGAUGAUCCCGCGUUGUAUUAGCUAGUUGGUGAGGUAAAGGCUCACCAAGGCGAUGAUACAUAGCCGACCUGAGAGGGUGAUCGGCCACAUUGGGACUGAGACACGGCCCAAACUCCUACGGGAGGCAGCAGUAGGGGAAUCUUCGGCAAUGGACGAAAGUCUGACCGAGCAACGCCGCGUGAGUGAAGAAGGUUUUCGGAUCGUAAAACUCUGUUGGUAGAGAAGAACGUUGGUGAGAGUGGAAAGCUCAUCAAGUGACGGUAACUACCCAGAAAGGGACGG